rnacentral:rRNA from 1 species
AGAGUUUGAUCCUGGCUCAGGAUGAACGCUAGCGGCAGGCUUAACACAUGCAAGUCGAGGGGCAGCGCGGGGUAGCAAUACUCUGGCGGCGACCGGCGGAAGGGUGCGUAACACGUGAGCGACUUGCCCGUCACAGGGAGAUAACCGGCGGAAACGGCGACUAAUAUCCCAUAUGAUCCGAAGCUACAUGGCGUCGGAUUGAAAGAUUCAUCGGUGACGGAUAGGCUCGCGGGACAUUAGCUGGACGGCGGGGCAACGGCCCACCGUGGCGACGAUGUCUAGGGGUUCUGAGAGGAAGAUCCCCCACACUGGAACUGAGACACGGUCCAGACUCCUACGGGAGGCAGCAGUGAGGAAUAUUGGUCAAUGGGCGGAAGCCUGAACCAGCCAUGCCGCGUGAAGGAAUAAGGCCCUAUGGGUCGUAAACUUCUUUAGACGCAGAGCAAUAAGGUCCACGAGUGGAUCGAUGAGAGUAUGCGUAGAAUAAGCAUCGGCUAACUCCGUGCCAGCAGCCGCGGUAAUACGGGGGAUGCGAGCGUUAUCCGGAUUUAUUGGGUUUAAAGGGUGCGUAGGCGGCAAGGUAAGUCAGCGGUGAAAGACCAGGGCUCAACUCUGGAAGUGCCGUUGAUACUGUCUGGCUAGAAUGAUUCCGCCGUGGGAGGAAUGAGUAGUGUAGCGGUGAAAUGCAUAGAUAUUACUCAGAACACCGAUUGCGAAGGCAUCUCACGAGGGGUUCAUUGACGCUGAGGCACGAAAGCGUGGGGAUCGAACAGGAUUAGAUACCCUGGUAGUCCACGCAGUAAACGAUGAUGGCUAACUGUCGGGCCUUAGGGUUCGGCGGCCAAGCGAAAGCGAUAAGCCAUCCACCUGGGGAGUACGACCGCAAGGUUGAAACUCAAAGGAAUUGACGGGGGCC